CAGCACCUCAAGUGGUCAGGAUGAUUAUUGGGCCUAAAGCAUCCGUAGCCGGCGCUGCAAGUUUUCGGUUAAAUCUGUACGCUCAACGUACAGGCUGCCGGGAAUACUGCAGCGCUAGGGAGUGGGAGAGGUAGACGGUACCCGGUAGGAAGGGGUAAAAUCCUUUGAUCUAUUGAUGACCACCUGUGGCGAAGGCGGUCUACCAGAACACGUCCGACGGUGAGGGAUGAAAGCUGGGGGAGCAAACCGGAUUAGAUACCCGAGUAGUCC
rnacentral:rRNA from 1 species